rnacentral:rRNA from 1 species
AACGAACGCUGGCGGCAGGCUUAACACAUGCGAGUCGAGCGCCCCGCAAGGGGAGCGGCAGACGGGUGAGUAACGCGUGGGAAUCUACCCAUCUCUACGGAAUAACGCAUGGAAACGUGUGCUAAUACCGUAUACGUCCUUCGGGAGAAAGAUUUAUCGGAGAUGGAUGAGCCCGCGUUGGAUUAGCUAGUUGGUGGGGUAAAGGCCUACCAAGGCGACGAUCCAUAGCUGGUCUGAGGGGAUGAUCAGCCACACUGGGACUGAGACACGGCCCAGACUCCUACGGGAGGCAGCAGUGGGGAAUAUUGGACAAUGGGCGCAAGCCUGAUCCAGCCAUGCCGCGUGAGUGAUGAAGGCCCUGGGGUUGUAAAGCUCUUUCACCGGUGAAGAUAAUGACGGUAACCGGAGAAGAAGCCCCGGCUAACUUCGUGCCAGCCGCCGCGGUAAGAC